CUUCGACAUCAUUGCUUGACUGGUACUUAUUUUAUCGACACCGAGAGGAGGAAAGGCAAAGUCGACCUCGGCGAAAUCUGAUCUCAUAAUGUAGCGACAGGUAAAAUACUAUC